CUGACUCCUGAGUGCUACAAUUCUGUGUCCAGCUGCCUCAGAAGGCAUCUCUACCUGGAUUCCCAAAAACAUGUCAAACUCAACAUAUCCAAAGUGAAAUUCAUCAUCUUCCUUCCCUGCUAAAAUCGCUGUCUCCUCCUGCAUCCCUAUCUCAGAGUGACACAAGACUUACUCCAGGAGAUCCCAAAGCCACUCUAGAAGUUAAUGUGUCAUCCCAAGGAAGAUCAGUCUUACCUGAGUAGCCACCGCCAAAAGCUGAAAGAGACUGAAACAAUCAGGGUCAAGCCGAGUAAAUCUACUUUGACCUUCUGAUAAGAUUUCAUUAAAAGGAAGAGGGGUUUUUUUCCCCCUAAUUUCAAGCCACUGGUCUAAAUUAAUAAUGUAAUUUUUUUCAUUUAUGUUUUUAAUAAAGUGUAUUUUGAUUUUUUAAUUUAA